UGCAAUUUUGCUUUCUGCUGCAUCCAUCGCCAUGGAGACGUAAUGACUCAUUUAGGAAUUGGAGCGGGUUGUGGCAGGAGGCAGGUGUGGUGCACGAUGGGAUUGGCCUGGACUCAGCCCGCAAUAAAACAGAUGCGUCCCCACUUCCGAUGUUGCUCUUGGGAUCCAAAGAGAUGCAGGAUUUCUGGAGACCCCUUGCAGCACAGCCACACUCCAGCCCAAGCCCCUCUGUCAACAGCCCACAAGUCCCCACGUCCCUCCCCUGCUCUCCUUGUCAAGCCACAGGCUCCCUGCAGCUGGCUUUGAUGCCCCUUCUCUCUUCCAGCCUACAGCAAGCAAGGGCGUGUGAGUGAGUGGAUGCUGAGCUCUCCUGGCCUGUUUCCCAUUCCGCCUCAAGUUAAUGGCUCUCUUUCUUCGAACUGCCUGACAUCGCUUCCCCGCAGCCAACCCCUCGAAUGCUCUUCCGUGGGUGAUGAUGGCACAGCUACCCUGUGAGGUGGGGGAAAUAAUUAUCCUGAGAACUCCAUUGUCAAAUGCUCCUUUUGGGCGACUGUUUUGAUCAGGGCCUAGGGUUGCCAACUUCUCUUUUUUAAAACCACUCUCUGCUCCUGUAUCUUGAAACAGUUGCUUGAUCUAAAGCAACUAGGACAAUGGGAAGGUACCUUAUACUGAGUCAGACCAUUGGUCUAUCUAUCUUAGUGCUGCAUACACCAGCCGCCCCCAGAUGGGUCCCUUCUUUUGUAAUAUACAGUUAUUGAUUCACAAGGGUUCACCUGGGCUUAGGUUGCCGGUGGAUGUGACUUAGCAGGCUCUCAGCAGGCUCUGCCACCUUUCCCAUCUUUCUUUGUGCUUCCUGGAACAAGCAAGAAGCCAUGCGACCUGGGCUCCCUGCAAGUCAACUGAAUCUCCCUAAAAUGAGAUUUUUAUAGCCUGCAUCUUUGCUAAUCCAACGUGUAUUGGAUUAUUGUAAUGUCAACGUGUAGAGACUUGUUUGAUACUUCUGGAAACGCUGUCCACCUCUCUGUUUGCAUCUUCCUGCCCCUCGAAGCCACAGACUUUUGUUUUCCUGAUUCCUUGCCCUUGCCCUCUGCUGCUAUCGGGCUGAGCUACAGUCAGGAUGUUGUGACGACAGACAGACAAGCUGGAGCAUCAGCCAGCCCAGAAUGGACCGAGUGUGAAAGGCAGGCGGAGAGGGCAGCCUGUGCCAAACGGCGAGUGUGCUUGGCGUGGCCAAGGGCUGUGGAGGAGUGAGAAGGGAACCCGGGGUCCAUUCCUAUCCUCUGAGCUGCUUGCAGGGAGGGAGGAAGGUGGCUGUAUUGGUUUGCAGAGGCCAAAACUAUCAUUCACGUCAGCUGAUCACAUUGCAAGAGUCAGAACGG